UACAGAGGAGCCAAGCGUUGUCCGGAUUGACUGGGCGUAAAGCGCACGCAGGCGGGUGUGCGCGUGGGGGGUGAAAUCUGGCCGCUUAACGGCCAGGCGCCAUCCCAUACGGCACGCCUGGAGUGAUGCAGAGGUCGAUGGAAUUGCCGGUGUAGUGGUGAAAUGCGCAGAUAUCGGGAAGAACACCCGUGGCGAAGGCGGUUCUCUGGGACGGUACUGACGCUGAGACGCGAAAGCGUGGGGAGCGAACAGG
rnacentral:rRNA from 1 species